AUUCCCUACGGGGUGCAGCAGGCGCGCAAACUUUACAAUGCGAGCAAUCGUGAUAAGGAAACCCUGAGUGCCUGUCGAUGCAGGCUGUUCAUAUAUCUAAAUCAUAUGUGAAGAAAGGGCAGGGCAAGACCGGUGCCAGCCGCCGCGGUAAUACCGGCUGCUCGAGUGAUGGCCACUAUUACUGGGUUUAAAGCGUCCGUAGCUUGACUGUUAGGUCUCUUGGGAAAUCUUCACGCUCAACGUGAAGGCGUCUAAGAGAUACCGGCAGUCUUGGAACUGGGAGAGGUAAACCGUACUUCGGGGGUAGGAGUGAAAUCUUGUAAUCCUCGAGGGACGACCUAUGGCGAAGGCAGUUUACCAGAACAGCUUCGACAGUGAGGGACGAAAGCUGGGGGAGCAAACGGGAUUAGAUACCCCGGUAGUCCCAGCCGUAAACAAUGUGCGUUAGGUGUGUCGGUAACCACGUGUUACUGAUGCGCCGAAGAGAAAUCGUGAAACGCACCACCUGGGAAGUACGGUCGCAAGGCUGAAACUUAAAGGAAUUGGCGGGGGAGCACCACAACAGGUGGAGCCUGCGGUUUAAUUGGAUUCAACGCCGGACAUCUCACCGGAUAAGACAGCUGAAUGAUUGUCAAUCUGAAGGUUUUACAUGACUAGCUGAGAGGAGGU
rnacentral:rRNA from 1 species